GUGGCGAACGGGUGAGUAACACGUGAGUAACCUGCCCUUAACUCUGGGAUAAGCCUUGGAAACGGGGUCUAAUACUGGAUAUUGACUUUUCCUCGCAUGGGGAUUGGUUGAAAGAUUUAUUGGUUUUGGAUGGACUCGCGGCCUAUCAGCUUGUUGGUGAGGUAAUGGCUCACCAAGGCGACGACGGGUAGCCGGCCUGAGAGGGUGACCGGCCACACUGGGACUGAGACACGGCCCAGACUCCUACGGGAGGCAGCAGUGGGGAAUAUUGCACAAUGGGCGAAAGCCUGAUGCAGCGACGCCGCGUGAGGGAUGACGGCCUUCGGGUUGUAAACCUCUUUCAGUAGGGAACAAGGCCAGUGUUUAGCUGGUUGAGGGUACUUGCAGAAGAAGCGCCGGCUAACUACGUGCCAGCAGCCGCGGUAAUACGUAGGGCGCAAGCGUUAUCCGGAAUUAUUGGGCGUAAAGAGCUCGUAGGCGGUUUGUCGCGUCUGCCGUGAAAGUCCGGGGCUCAACCCCGGAUCUGCGGUGGGUACGGGCAGACUAGAGUGAUGUAGGGGAGACUGGAAUUCCUGGUGUAGCGGUGAAAUGCGCAGAUAUC
rnacentral:rRNA from 1 species